UUCAUUUCUCUAAGCUUCAUUGCAGCUUCUCUCCCUCUGUCUCUCUCUAUAUAUAAACAGGAACCCAGCUUCUGAUUCAUCAUCAAUAUCAAAUUCAAAUUUCUUCUCUUCAAAAGCUUUUGAUUCUUAGCUUAAAUCCCCUGGUUCUACCCAUUUAAAGAAAGAGAGAAGGAAGAUGAGUGUGGAAGUUUUGGACGGUGCCACCAUUGUGAACUUCGUGGAGGACGAAGAAGCGUUCACUGUAUCAGUACGUGACCGUUUUGAUAACCUUGAUACAGACCAAGAUGGUCUUCUUUCCUAUGCAGAAAUGUUGAAGGAGCUGCAGAGUCUGAGGGUUUUCGAGACUCACUUUGGAAUAGAUGNNNNN
rnacentral:lncRNA from 1 species